UAGCUCUGUAGCUCAACGGUAGAGCGUCUGCCAGUAGGUUAUACCGAAAGCGGAUGGUUGUAGGUUCGACUCCUAUCAGGGCAGUUGU
rnacentral:tRNA from 1 species